CCCCAUUCCUUCGUCACCUCCGACGAGCAAAAUGCGCCCUAAUGCCCCGUUCGUUUCUCACCUCAAACAGGAGAUUCGGCUAGCUUACAUCCAAUGGCACAUUUAGACCGCCUCGGAAGUGUUCCUCUGUGCUAAUCAGCGUGCAUUUUAAGCUAGGGUUUGGGGCGUCAGGAGUCAGGACGGAGGCAAUGGAGUCGAUUUGCGCCGCGAUAAAGGUUGGGAGCCAUUUGCAGCUACAAUGGAGGCCGCAGAGAGUGCCUGCUCUGUUGUGCCUAUGGAAACCCAUGCACUUGUUGAUGCCUUUUCAUCGGCAGAAGUGAGUUCUACUAUGAACACAUCAGAUGGUUUCAGCACACCAGUUUAAAGUUGGAGCGCCCCGUUUUGUGUUUCAUCAUGUACACCGGAAUGUGAUUUGGAUGAAAAACCAGCCGUAGGGAUGAAGUUUAAUGACCUGGGGGCUGCAGAGCAGUUUUAUAGAACAUAUGCAAAGAUUUGCGUUUUUGAUGUCCGAAUAGGACAUAGUAGAAAGUCUGGCGGUGUCGUGGUUUGGAAGAGGCUUUACUGCUCUAAGGAGGGCUACCAAUCUAAGGAAGAGCAAGGUAAGCAAAUUGUGGGUAUCAGUAAACAGAAGCGUAACACAGAAAUCAGAAGGUGUGGGUGUGAGGCACAGGUUACUUUCAAAAAGUGUGCAGAUAACCAGUUCAUUAUCAGUAAGAUUGAGGAAAAGCAUGCACAUGCACUUGCUUCACCCCACAAGAAACAAUUUCUGAAGGGGAAUAGAGAAGUUAGUGACCAGGCUAAGAAUGCAUUAUUCACAUGCCACAAGGCUAGCAUUGGGACGUCAGAUGCUUACCGUUUGCUCCGUGUUAGUGAAGGGGGUUUUGAGUUUGCAGGAUGCACAAAGAAAGAUAUGGAAAAUUAUAACCGGGACCUAAGAAGGGCAAUAAAUUCAGCGGAUGCAGAAAUGUUUGUUGAGAAUCUAUAUAGGAAGAAGGAUGCAAACCCUGGUUUUUUCUUUGACUAUGUCUUGCAUGAGAAGAGGUUGGUGGCCGCAUUUUGGGCUGAUAGUACUUACAGGAAAAACUAUGCACAUUUUGGGGAUGUUGUCUCUUUUGAUUCAACAUAUAACACAAACCAGUAUGA